AACCUCUCAGGAUAGCACCUGGAGAGUUUCCAGUACUCUACCAGUCUCAGCUACAGGAGGGAGAGUCAAGCAGAGGCCUACCCAUUCCAUUCCUAAAAUGGCCAGUGGCUCGCGAGUGGAAGGCAAUCUGCUAAAAGU